UACGUAGGGUGCAAGCGUUUAAUCGGAAUUACUGGGCGUAAAGCGUGCGCAGGCGGUUGUGCAAGACAGAUGUGAAAUCCCCGGGCUUAACCUGGGAAUUGCAUUUGUGACUGCACGGCUAGAGUGUGUCAGAGGGGGGGUAGAAUUCCACGUGUAGCAGUGAAAUGCGUAGAUAUGUGGAGGAAUACCGAUGGCGAAGGCAGCCCCCCUGGGAUAACACUGACGCUCAUGCACGAAAGCGUGGGGAGCAAACAGG
rnacentral:rRNA from 1 species